AAAACAUUUUGGACAGCUGGCGGCACCGCGGUUGCAAAAAAAAAUCUGAAAACGCGUCUACUUCUUUCUUGUUCCUGGCAAUACAUCUGCUUCUGUUAGCGUCUAGAUUCUCUGUCGAGUGCUCCGCCGUAGUUAUCAAAUAUUAUCGUAAAAUCGCGCAGCGCAAGCAUUUUGUGACUCACAUCAGUGUUAAUUUAGCGGUGUCACGUUCGUAAGUGUGAUAAGUGCUUGUGAGUGUUACCAGCCGGAUCUACCUAUAUCAGAAAGAUGGCCAACAAAAUCGAGGAGGUGCGAACAUCCAUCGAAUCAUCCUUGAAGGAUGACACCAAGCCAUGGACACAGGCUUUUAAGCUGGCCGAAGAGAAGACCGGUGUUCCGAGGCUAUACAUUUUCCUGGGUGGUGUUGCCAUUGUGGUUCUCUAUCUGGCCUUCGGCUAUGCCGCACAGAUCCUGUGCAACGCUAUCGGCGUAGCUUAUCCGGCGUACAUUUCCAUGAAAGCAAUCGAAACCCGCACAAAGGAAGACGACACCAGAUGGCUCACCUACUGGGUAAUCUACGGCGUUCUGUCCGUGUUUGAGCAUUUCUCCUUUUUCCUGGUGCAAAUCAUCCCAUUCUACUGGCUGCUGAAGUGCGUCUUCUUCGUCUGGUGCAUGGUACCAAUUGAUAACAAUGGAUCGACCGUAAUGUACCACAAGGUCAUCCUGCCAUAUUUCAAGAAAUACGAAAAAAGUAAGUAAUGCGAGCAUGAGAAGCAUCCAAGUACAAAAAGCAAGUAUUCACAAAUUUGAAGUCGUGGUGCGGACAAUCUGAUCGGACAAGCCACUGAUAAGAUCAAACAGGUGGCCGGUGAUGUGAUCUCCAAGAAGCUGUCUUAAAACAACACCCCACGAUUAGGUCUCAUUAGAAUGUUUGUAGCAUGUUUAUUAUAAAUUUAAAACAUUUUUCUUGUACGCAAUUUGAAGACAAGUUUCAUCAUUUUCACUCAAUUCUUCUGUCAACUGGCUGCUAGCGCAGAAACAUCAAAAUGCAAAGAAAAACGAAAUUUAAGCUUUUCGUUAUGAUUUAAAUUUCAACGCGGUAUUCGGCUUAAUGCUUUGAUUGUAUCAUAUGUAUCUAUUUGGAUUCUGCUAGAUCUAAAUGUAACAACGUGACUCUGACGAUUCUUAGGGUAGACGUGGAUAGAUUAGUUAAGUAGUCAGCAGUACACACUUGCCUUAGUCCAACUUCUGCAACAAAAGUUACAAAUCACUAUUGCUGAUUUAUUUAUUGAAAUGGAAAUAAGACGCCAUUAUUUUUGUUGAUAGUACAACAGCACACAUAAAACAACCAAACAAUCGCCAAGUCAUGCAAAAUGUGAAUCUGAGGAAAGGUAACGCAAGAAAACUGCAUCAUUACGGAUUAAAAUGCUUUAUUUUUUCAAGGGAUAAGUAGUGGUUUGUGGAAAAGACACGUAUGUUUAAAUAUUUUAACGAAAAAAAAUCGCAUUGAGUUAUAGAAAACAUGAAAGACACAGAUGACAUCACAAAAUCAAA